rnacentral:lncRNA from 1 species
AAAAAAAUAUUUUAUCUAAAUAUUUGUAUUACUUUUAUUUUUUUAAUAAUAAUUAUUGGUGUAAUGGUAAAGAAUUUGUUUAUCGAUGUAAUAAUUAUUAAAGUAAAGAAGUACUCAAAGGAACUUUCGAGGAAUACAAAAAACCCUACAGCAAUAGUUCCAAAAUUAACACCUACUAGUAGACUUGCAAACAAUUGACAGCAUAGGGAGCUUCGUUCUAAUGGGAGUGUCUCUCGUAGGCUUGAGUUCUUCCAAUCUAGUGAAAGUGUUUUAAACACUGAGUCUGUCGAAUAGGAAGAUGAUGACUCAUUCACAUUUGAUGAAGUAAUGUAGAGUGUUUA